rnacentral:rRNA from 1 species
AACGAACGCUGGCGGCAUGCCCAACACAUGAAAGUCGAACGAGAUCUUCGGGUCUAGUGGCGCACGGGUGCGUAACGCGUGGGAAUCUGCCCUUUGGUUCGGAAUAACAGUUGGAAACGACUGCUAAUACCGGAUGAUGACGAAAGUCCAAAGAUUUAUCGCCGGAGGAUGAGCCCGCGUAGGAUUAGCUAGUUGGUGUGGUAAAGGCGCACCAAGGCGACGAUCCUUAGCUGGUCUGAGAGGAUGAUCAGCCACACUGGGACUGAGACACGGCCCAGACUCCUACAGGAGGCAGCAGUGGGGAAGAUUGGACAAUGGGCGAAAGCCUUAUCCAGCAAUGCCGCGUGAGUGAUGAAGGCCUUAGGGUUGUAAAGCUCUUUUACCCGGGAUGAUAAUGACAGUACCGGGAGAAUAAGCUCCGGCUAACUCCGUGCCAGCCGCCGCCGUAA